rnacentral:rRNA from 1 species
AACGAACGCUGGCGGCAGGCCUAACACAUGCAAGUCGAGCGCGCCUUCGGGUGCGCGGCGGACGGGUGAGUACCGCGUGGGAAUAUGCCCUUCUCUACGGAAUAGUCCUGGGAAACUGGGGGUAAUACCGUAUACGCCCUUUGAGGGAAAGAUUUAUCGGGGAAGGAUUAGCCCGCGUUGGAUUAGGUAGUUGGUGGGGUAAUGGCCUACCAAGCCGACGAUCCAUAGCUGGUUUGAGAGGAUGAUCAGCCACACUGGGACUGAGACACGGCCCAGACUCCUACGGGAGGCAGCAGUGGGGAAUCUUAGACAAUGGGGGCAACCCUGAUCUAGCCAUGCCGCGUGAGUGAUGAAGGCCUUAGGGUUGUAAAGCUCUUUCAGCUGGGAAGAUAAUGACGGUACCAGCAGAAGAAGCCCCGGCUAACUCCGUG